GAUGAAAAAAACAACGGAUUCCGCCGGUGCCGGCGGUGUUAUGCCACGGCCAGAUUCAACAUUGAACACCGGAGUAGUCCGAACAGAAUCUCAACAGCCGGAAUCGCAACCAAGAUAUUCCCCGGAAUUGAUCAUUGCCAAUCUCAGCAAACUCUCGGAUGGUCUCUUUGCGUUCCAGCGAUGCUUGACUGACCUAGAACAACACAUUGAAUCUGCACGGACCUCAAUUGACUCCGCUAUGCUACUACUGUUCACUCCGCCACCAGUGACACUCCCAACCCCAGUGCCAGAGCCAAAACCAGAUCCAAAGCCAAAACCAGAGAUAGAGCCAGAACAAUCUUUCGAGUCUGACCCCUCUGAAUA
rnacentral:misc_RNA from 1 species